GAGCCCCGCCGGAUCUAGUGAGGGCUUGCCUCGUGGUCUUUGGGCGAGGCAAGCCCUCACUAGAUCUGGCGAGGAGG
rnacentral:pre_miRNA from 1 species